GGAAUAUUGGACAAUGGGCGCAAGCCUGAUCCAGCCAUGCCGCGUGUAGGAUGAAUGCCCUAUGGGUUGUAAACUACUUUUGUAUGGGAAGAAACCUUUUUAUUCAUAAAAAGCUGACGGUACCAUAAGAAUAAUCAUCGGCUAACUCCGUGCCAGCAGCCGCGGUAAUACGGAGGAUGCAAGCGUUAUCCGGAUUUAUUGGGUUUAAAGGGUUCGUAGGCGGAAAAGUAAGUCAGUGGUGAAAGCCUGCAGCUCAACUGUAGAACUGCCAUUGAAACUAUUUUUCUUGAAUAUAUAUGAAGUAGGCGGAAUGCGUCAUGUAGCGGUGAAAUGCACAGAUAUGACGCAGAACACCGAUAGCGAAGGCAGCUUACUAAUGUAUUAUUGACGCUGAUGAACGAAAGCGUGGGUAGCGAAC
rnacentral:rRNA from 1 species